rnacentral:pre_miRNA from 1 species
CGGGGGAGGCUGGAUCCUGGGCUGAGUCCGGCUCCCUGUGCUCCAGGGCCUGCGCUUUGGAUUCGCUCCCACCCCGCAGCCCCCU